rnacentral:rRNA from 1 species
AUGCAGUAUACAGAGAAAAAUAGUAAAGCAAAUCUGAUGUUCCAUUUCAUGGGUGAUAUUUUAUCUGCAGCUCUUUUGUGCUUUAUUGCCCAGAUAUCCAAUAUGGCAGAGGUGAUUAUAUCAAGCCUUGCAAUCUCAGUUCUCCGAAAGGCCACAUCUUCUGGCAGUGAAUGGGCCGUUAAUGAGUUCAAGUCGUCCUGGAAUAUCAAGAAAGAGCUUGAAAAGUUGGAAAGGUCACUGAGUUCCAUCUGUGGUGUUCUUGAAGAUGCCGAGGGCAAACAGUCAACUUCUCAUGCUCUUAAAGAGUGGUUAGACAAUUUGAAGGAUGCAGUCUACGACAUAGAUGAUGUUCUGGAUGGCGUGGCCACCCGAGCUCUAGAGCAAAAGGUUCAUACAGGAUUCUUCAUUCGAAUGAGCCACAUGCUUGCUUUUCCAUUCAAAUUGAGCCACAUGAUAAAAGAUGUCCGUGAAAAACUUGAUGAGAUAGCAUCCAACAGAUCAAAAUUUGGAUUAACAUGCCAUCUAAUUGGUAACCAUGUAUCCAGGUGCAGUAACAGGGAAACACAUUCCUUUAUUAAUGAAAAAUAUAUUAUUGGAAGAGAUGAUGCUAAAGACAAUAUUGUCAAAGUUAUAUUGACUGCUGCAAACUCAAAUUCUUUGUCUGUGCUUCCUAUAGUUGGUUUGGGAGGGAUAGGAAAAACUGCAUUGGCCAAGUUGGUAUACAAUGAUGCACGGACUAGCAAGAAGUUUGAAAGGAAGUUAUGGGCAUGUGUCUCUGAUGUAUUUGAUCUUCACAAGAUCUUAGAUGACAUAAUACAAUCUGGUACCGGUGAAAGCAACAAACAACUAAACCUGGAAAUGUUACAGCGCAAGUUGCGUGGGAUUUUACAGGAGAAGAGAUAUUUUCUUGUACUUGAUGACAUGUGGAAUGAUCAAGUUUCUGACUGGGAAGAGUUGAGAAGCCUGCUUUCCAGUGGUGGUAGUGGAAGUGUGAUUGUAGUCACCACGCGCAGUUCAAAUGUUGCAUCCCUGGUGAAGACCCUGGAACAAUAUGACGUUACAAAAUUACCGCAUGAUGAGUGUAUGGAAGUAUUUGUUCGGUGCGCAUUCAGAGAUGGCAGUGAAAAAGACCCCAAGUUGCUAAAACUGGGGAACUCCAUUGUUAAAAAAUGUUGUGGUGUUCCUUUGGCAGCAAAGACACUGGGUUCCCUGUUGUGUAAUAGUCGAAAUGUUGAAGAAUGGCGGCGCAUCGACGAAAACAAACUGUGGAACAUUGAGGGAAGCAUAAAUGGUAUCUUGACAGCAUUAAAAUUGAGUUAUGAUGCACUUCCGCCUCAUCUGCGAGCGUGUUUCGCUUGCCUAUCAACUUUCCCGAAGGACUACCAUAUGUUUACGAAUCACCUUGUUAUGUUCUGGAUGGCAUUGGGGUUGUUGCACCGGGGCAGUGAAAGCCAUGAGACGUUAACUAAUGGAGCAAAAUACUUCCAUGAACUUCUUGAUAGGUCCCUUUUACAAGACCAAUAUAUUCUUUACGAUGGCAGCAUUCAGAAAUGUAAAAUGCAUGAUCUUGUUCAUGAUCUAGCAAUAUCGGUGUCCAGAAAUGAGUGUGCUCUUGUUAGUUGUGAAAAGGUUGCAGUGUCUGAAAGAGUUAGGCAUCUAGUGUGGGACCGCGAGGACUUCUCAGUGGAUCUGAAAUUUCCUAAGCAGCUGAAAAGGGCACGUAAGGCGAGAACAUUUGCAAGCAGAUACAAUUAUGGUACCGUGAGCAAAGCCUUCCUCGAGGACCUAUUCUCUACAUUCACACUCCUGCGUGUCUUGAUUUUCUCUUAUGUUGAAUUUGAAGAGCUACCGAGUUCAGUUGCAAAUCUGAGGCAUCUGAGGUACCUAGAUCUACAAUGGAACAAGAAAAUCAGAAUCCUACCGAAUUCCUUAUGUAGAUUGGUGAAUCUACAAACAGUUCAUCUUGGCCGGUGCAGCCAAUUUGAUGAGCUACCAGGACGUAUGGAUGAACUUGUCAACCUUACGUUCUUGGUCCUCACGUCAAAACAAAAGAAUUUACUAAAAAGUGGGUUUUGUGGUUGGUCUUCCAUGACAUUUCUAUAUUUGAGCGGCUGCACCGAGUUAGUAUCACUCACAGAAGGAUUUGGUAGCCUCACUGCUCUCCGAGAGUUGCUCAUCUUCAACUGCCCAAAGCUCGCUUCUCUCCCCUCUUCCAUGAAGCAGCUCUGUGUGCUUGAGAAGUUGGUGAUUAGUAACUGCCAAGAGCUUGAUCUGAUGGAACCAGUAGGAGCCUUGAGUGGGCUGGGAAACCUACAUGUGCUUACUCUCGUUGAGCUUCCAAAGCUCGUGGGCUUUCCAGAGAGCUUCAAAUCUUGUGUGUUAUCUCUUCAGUUUGUCCUGAUUCGCGAUUGCAAAGGGCUUGAGAAGCUGCCGAGCUUCAUUCGAGAUUUCACUUGUCUUAAGAAAAUUUUAAUUCAGGACUGCCCUAAGUUGAGCAGGAGAUGCACGGCUGAAUCCGGGGAGGAUUAUCAUCUCAUCCGCGGUAUCCCUGUCAUACACAUCGAUGGAGACACUUGUGAAGGGAGACACGAGGCUCUAACAAGCACAUAUAUCAUAAAUCCUGAUGGAAGAAAUGCGUGA